AUUGAACGCUGGCGGCAUGCUUUACACAUGCAAGUCGAACGGCAGCGCGGGGCAACCUGGCGGCGAGUGGCGAACGGGUGAGUAAUAUAUCGGAACGUACCCAGAAGUGGGGGAUAACGUAGCGAAAGUUACGCUAAUACCGCAUACGAUCUACGGAUGGAAGUAGGGGACCGCAAGGCCUUAUGCUUUUGGAGCGGCCGAUAUCUGAUUAGCUAGUUGGUGAGGUAAAGGCUCACCAAGGCGACGAUCAGUAGCUGGUCUGAGAGGACGACCAGCCACACUGGAACUGAGACACGGUCCAGACUCCUACGGGAGGCAGCAGUGGGGAAUUUUGGACAAUGGGCGCAAGCCUGAUCCAGCAAUGCCGCGUGAGUGAAGAAGGCCUUCGGGUUGUAAAGCUCUUUUGUCAGGGAAGAAACGGUAGAGGCUAAUAUCCUUUGCUAAUGACGGUACCUGAAGAAUAAGCACCGGCUAACUACGUG
rnacentral:rRNA from 1 species